GAGAUGGAUUGGUGCCUUCGGGAACUCUGACACAGGUGCUGCAUGGCUGUCGUCAGCUCGUGUCGUGAGAUGUUGGGUUAAGUCCGUAACGAGCGCAACCCUUGUCCUUAGUUACCAGCACGUUAUGGUGGGCACUCUAAGGAGACUGCCGGUGACAAACCGGAGGAAGGUGGGGAUGACGUCAAGUCACCAUGGCCCUUACGGCCUGGGCUACACACGUGCUACAAUGGUCGGUACAAAGGGUUGCCAAGCCGCGAGGUGGAGCUAAUCCCAUAAAACCGAUCGUAGUCCGGAUCGCAGUCUGCAACUCGACUGCGUGAAGUCGGAAUCGCUAGUAAUCGUGAAUCAGAAUGUCACGGUGAAUACGUUCCCGGGCCUU
rnacentral:rRNA from 1 species